rnacentral:rRNA from 1 species
AACGAACGCUGGCGGCAUGCCUAACACAUGCAAGUCGAACGAGAUCUUCGGGUCUAGUGGCGCACGGGUGCGUAACGCGUGGGAAUCUGCCCUUUGGUUCGGAAUAACAGUUGGAAACGACUGCUAAUACCGGAUGAUGACGGAAGUCCAAAGAUUUAUCGCCAGAGGAUGAGCCCGCGUGGGAUUAGCUAGUUGGUGUGGGAAAGGCGCACCAAGGCGACGAUCCUUAGCUGGUCUGAGAGGAUGAUCAGCCACACUGGGACUGAGACACGGCCCAGACUCCUACGGGAGGCAGCAGUGGGGAAUAUUGGACAAUGGGCGAAAGCCUGAUCCAGCAAUGCCGCGUGAGUGAUGAAGGCCUUAGGGUUGUAAAGCUCUUUUACCCGGGAUGAUAAUGACAGUACCGGGAGAAUAAGCUCCGGCUAACUCCGUGCCAGCAGCCGCGGUAA